CCCUGCCAUAUAGGUGAUUAUGGUUUUUUCAGGAUUUAUUGAUUGAUUCAUGUCCAUUUUUAAAUUUACAUGAAGAAAAUCAAAGAAAAAUAAAUUUUAUCCAUAAAUCCAUUUUUGGGCCGCCCCUGCCAUAUAGGUGAUUAUGGUUUUUUCAGGCUUUAUUGAUUGAUUCGUGUCCAUUUUUAAAUUUACAUGAAGAAAAUCAAAGAAAAUUAAAUUUUAUCCAUAAAUCCAUUUUUGGGCCGCCCCUGCCAUACAGGUGAUAAUAGCUUUUUCAGCAUUUAUUGAUUGAUUCUUGCCCAUUUUUCAGAAUAUUUGAAAAAAAAUCAAAGAAAAUUAAAUUUUAUCCAUAAAUCCAUUUUUGGGCCGCCCCUGCCAUAUAGGUGAUAAUAGCUUUUUCAGCAUUUAUUGAUUGAUUCUUGCCCAUUUUCAGAUUUUAUGAAAAAAAAUCAAAGAAAAUUAAAUUUUAUCCAUAAAUCCAUUUUUGGGCCGCCCCUGCCAUAUAGGUGAUUAUGGUUUUUUCAGCAUUUAUUGAUUGAUUCUUGCCC